AAUAAAUUACAAUUAAAAAAGAUAAACAAAAUUUUAAUUAUUUGAACGCAAAAUAUCGAUUGUUUCAUAAGCUGCGUGACAGGAAGCGUGUUGCUACUGAUCGACUUACUUCGCAUCUUCAAUUUUGUCAUACCAUAUAAAGAUUCGAUAUUCAAGGAGCGGUAAGCCGAUAUGGCACUUCCAGCCACAUUUUCGAAAAAAAAAAUUGGUUAAUGCUGCAGCCUCUAUUUGAAAUUCCACAUCAAACUAUCACUAUCAUCUCACGCAGAUGCAUUGGCUGCUCGACAAUAACGUGCUGGCUUUCUCAUCUGCAAAUGAGUAUCAUAUUAUAUUUGCACACUGGCCUCAGGUACAAUGGCCUAUGCACAAGUAACUUUAUAGAUUUGUGCCUACACGCAUCUGCAGGCAUAAGUGAAUCCUGGUGGAAUGACAGAGCAGUUCAAGGAGGAAAUAUGAUCAUCCAAAGGCUGGAUUAAGAGGAGGAUUACUAAGAGCAUAAUUUCGGCACUGAUUGAAGCGGCAGCUUAAAACUGUAGGCCAACAUCAGUACGCAAAUCACAAGUUGCAGUAGAAACAAGUUGCAGCCUAAACACCUUGCAUUUGCAGCAGUCUACUAUUAAGAACUAAUUUCACUACUUACAUUUUUAGCGAACUGUUUGUAAAUUUAAAUGUAAAAUUUUUUCCACAUUUUCCUAAUAAAAUUCAAAUAUAAAAAUCCGUCUGGAUCUCAACAAGGUGCAAAAAAUAAGCGAUUAAAGAAAUUAAUAUUAAAAAAAUCUAGAA